UAUUCAUUGUCAAUUUCUUGUUAGAUCUUUCUCAUUUUUAUGCGUUUUUUUUUGUUUCAGGCACUCAUGGUGUUUCUAUUCAUCUUGGUGUUCUUUUAUGUCUGAAUCUACAUCUGUCAUUUUCUACUGAUUCUAGUUAUUUCUUUGUUUCAUCCCUCUGUGUUCCUUAGUUCUUGAUCAGCCUUGUUUCUGUUUGGUUCUUUGUUUCCCCCCCAUGUCUUUGUCUCUUUCUAGUUUAUCAUGUUUUGUUUAGUCUUAAUGUUUUUUUCAGUAUUAGAAUUAUUUCCAUCUCUCUUGUGUUUCCUCCCGCCUGAGUGAAGUUGCCCCAGCCGGACAAAAUUGGUGUCCAGAAACUCUACUACGUUGUGCUGGUUUAUGCAGCAAUUAUUUUUGUUUCUGCUGCUUUGGUUUUUAAAUAUUAAUGAAAGUUAAUAUUUAAACACUAAAAGAAAGUUUAAGAUCUUAAACUUUCUUUAAUUUUUAAAGCCAAAGCAGCACAAACCUUUUCUCUUUUUUUGCUGCACAAACCAGCUCAAAUGUAGCAAUUCUUCAAAGUGCUACAUUUGACACCAGGUUUGUCUGAUUUGAAGAAGACGGGAGCAGCUGGUUGACCUUUCAUAAUCUCUGGAAACAUUUCUUAAUAUCUUUAAACUGACAAUGGUGCAAACAAAAAAUGUUGCUGCACAAAUGUUUGACAAAAUUUUUUGUCUGAUUUGAAGAAAGUGGGGGAGCUGGAGCAACUUCAUUCAGGUUUUCCUCCCUCACUCUUUUGUGUUUCCUUGUAUACUUUCCCAGCUUCCUAUUCCAUCUUCUGCCAGCCCCUCAGCCUGACUCCUGCUAAAAAACUCACACCUACAAUAAAGUUACGUCAAUUAGCCAUUGUUUUCACUUUCUACCUCCAGAAAUCAAAUAUGUCUGGGGGUAUAUCUGAUUUCUGGAGGAGGAGUAUUUAAGCUCCUCCACUUCAGUCACAAUUCGCCAGUCUGUCUCGAGACAUUCACGUCACUUUCUCUUCGUCAUUUUCUUCCUUUCUGUCUAGUUGCUGUGUCUCUGGUUUGGACUUGUUUUGGAUUUUGUGUGUGUAUCUAUGUGCGUGUGUUACUCUUCUAUUACCAUUUUUGUAAAAUUAUCUAUUGUAUUUCAAGUCGUUUUUGCCUCCUGCAUUUGAGUCUGAUUUUAACUAACCAUGACAUAAGCUGUUGUUGUGUUUUGUCCCAUCAUGCAACAGCAUGAUGGGACAAAAAUUGACAGUACCUAGUUCUGAGUAUCUAAAUGGCCUGAAGUGUGUUGCUUGUGACCCCAGCCCUUCUCAGUGCAAAACUCCAGCAGCAUAUUCAGGAGGUGGGGGCAACUGCUUUCCAACAACUGCUCAAUAGCAGAAGAGAAAUGAUAUUGACAAAAA